rnacentral:rRNA from 1 species
GACGAACGCUGGCGGCGUGCCUAAUACAUGCAAGUAGAACGCAGUUGCGAACGGGUGAGUAACGCGUAGGUACCUGCCUGGUAGCGGGGGAUAACUAUUGGAAACGAUAGCUAAUACCGCAUACUACCAGAUGGACCUGCGUUGUAUUAGGUAGUAGGUGGGUUAACGGAUCACCAAGGAAACGAUACAUAGCCGACCGGUGAGGGUGAUCGGUCACACUGGGACGGAGACACGGCCCAGACUCCUUCGGGAGGCAGCAGUAGGGAAUCGUCGGCAAUGGGGGGAACCCUGACCGAGCAACGCCGCGUGAGUGAAGAAGGUUUUCGGAUCGUAAAGCUCUGUUGUAAAGGAAGCGGUACUUAACCAGAAAGGGACGGCUAACGACGUGCCAGCCGCCGCGGUAAUAC